GGAGAGGUGCCAGAGUGGUAAUGGAGCAGAUUGCUAAUCUGUCGGCCUCCGGGCCGCCAGGGUUCGAGUCCCUGUCUCUCCG
rnacentral:tRNA from 1 species